AGAGUUUGAUCCAGGCUCAGAUUGAACGCUGGCGGUAUGCCUAACACAUGCAAGUCGAACGGAAACGAUGGUAGCUUGCUACCAGGCGUCGAGUGGCGGACGGGUGAGUAACGCGUAGGAAUCUGCCUGAUAGUGGGGGAUAGCCCAGAGAAAUCUGGAUUAAUACCGCAUAAUCUCUAUGGAGUAAAGGAGCCCUCUUCUUGAAAGGUUUCGCUAUCAGAUGAGCCUGCGUAAGAUUAGCUUGUUGGUGAGGUAAAAGCUCACCAAGGCGACGAUCUUUAGCUGGUCUGAGAGGAUGAUCAGCCACACUGGAACUGAGACACGGUCCAGACUCCUACGGGAGGCAGCAGUGGGGAAUAUUGGACAAUGGGCGCAAGCCUGAUCCAGCAAUACCGCGUGUGUGAAGAAGGCCAGAGGGUUGUAAAGCACUUUCAAUUGUGAAGAAAAGCUAAUGGCUAAUACCCAUUAGC
rnacentral:rRNA from 1 species